rnacentral:rRNA from 1 species
AGAGUUUGAUCAUGGCUCAGGAUGAACGCUAGCGGUGCGCCUAACACAUGCAAGUCGAGCGGGAUUAUUUGUGACACAGAGUUUACAUAUAUAUGCAGAUUGUGUGUCACAGGUAAUUUAGCGGCAAACGGGUGCGUAACACGUUGAUAUCUCCCCCGAAGUCAGGGAUAACCUCAAGAAAUUGAGACUAAUACCGGAUGGUCCCGUGAGGGUAAAGGAGCAAUUCGCUUCGGGAAGAGUCUGCGGCCUAUCAGCUAGUUGGCGGGGUAAUAGCCCACCAAGGCGAUGACGGGUAGCUGGUCUGAGAGGACGGCCAGCCACAAUGGAACUGAGACACGGUCCAUACUCCUACGGGACGCAGCAGUGAGGAAUCUUCCACAAUGGGCGAAAGCCUGAUGGAGCGACACCGCGUGAAGGAUGAAGCCUUUGUUGGUGUAAACUUCUUUUCUCUGGGAAGAUAAUGACGGUACCAGAGGAAUAAGGGGCGGCAAACUUCGUGCCAGCAGCCGCGGUAAUACGAAGGCCCCAAGCGUUAUCCGGAAUUACUGGGCGUAAAGCGUGCGCAGGCGGCUUUGUAAGACAGGUGUGAAAUCCCCGGGCUUAACCUGGGAACUGCGCUUGUGACUGCAAGGCUCGAGUGUGGCAGAGGGGGGUGGAAUUCCACGUGUAGCAGUGAAAUGCGUAGAGAUGUGGAGGAACACCGAUGGCGAAGGCAGCCCCCUGGGUCAACACUGACGCUCAUGCACGAAAGCGUGGGUAGCAAACAGGAUUAGAUACCCUGGUAGUCCACGCCCUAAACGAUGCCAACUAGGUGUUGGGGAAGGAGACUUCCUUAGUACCGUAGCUAACGCGUGAAGUUGGCCGCCUGGGGAGUACGGUCGCAAGAUUAAAACUCAAAGGAAUUGACGGGGACCCGCACAAGCGGUGGAUGAUGUGGAUUAAUUCGAUGCAACGCGAAAAACCUUACCUACCCUUGACAUGCCAGGAAUCCCGGAGAGAUUUGGGAGUGCUCGAAAGAGAGCCUGGACACAGGUGCUGCAUGGCUGUCGUCAGCUCGUGUCGUGAGAUGUUGGGUUAAGUCCCGCAACGAGCGCAACCCUUAUCAUUAGUUGCCAUCAUUUAGUUGGGCACUCUAAUGAGACUGCCGGUGACAAACCGGAGGAAGGUGGGGAUGACGUCAAGUCCGCAUGGCCUUUAUGUCCGGGGCUACACACACGCUACAAUGGUCGGUACAAUGGGUUGCUAAGUCGCGAGAUGGAGCCAAUCCCCCAAAGCCGGCCUCAGUUCAGAUUGCAGGCUGCAACUCGCCUGCAUGAAGCUGGAGUUGCUAGUAAACGCGCGUCAGCUAUAGUGCGUUGAAUACGUUCUCGGGCCUUGUACACACCGCCCGUCACGUCAUGGGAGUUGGUAACACCUGAAGCCGGUAGCCUAACCGCAAGGAGGGCGCCGUCGAAGGUGGUGCUGGUGACUAGGACGAAGUCGUAACAAGGUAAAGGG